rnacentral:rRNA from 1 species
GGGUUGUGAGGUUAAGCGACUAAGCGUACACGGUGGAUGCCCUGGCAGUCAGAGGCGAUGAAGGACGUGCUAAUCUGCGAUAAGCGUCGGUAAGGUGAUAUGAACCGUUAUAACCGGCGAUUUCCGAAUGGGGAAACCCAGUGUGAUUCGUCACACUAUCAUUAACUGAAUCCAUAGGUUAAUGAGGCGAACCGGGGGAACUGAAACAUCUAAGUACCCCGAGGAAAAGAAAUCAACCGAGAUUCCCCCAGUAGCGGCGAGCGAACGGGGAGCAGCCCAGAGCCUGAAUCAGUGUGUGUGUUAGUGGAAGCGUCUGGAAAGGCGCGCGAUACAGGGUGACAGCCCCGUACACAAAAAUGCACAUGCUGUGAGCUCGAUGAGUAGGGCGGGACACGUGGUAUCCUGUCUGAAUAUGGGGGGACCAUCCUCCAAGGCUAAAUACUCCUGACUGACCGAUAGUGAACCAGUACCGUGAGGGAAAGGCGAAAAGAACCCCGGCGAGGGGAGUGAAAAAGAACCUGAAACCGUGUACGUACAAGCAGUGGGAGCACGCUUAGGCGUGUGACUGCGUACCUUUUGUAUAAUGGGUCAGCGACUUAUAUUCUGUAGCAAGGUUAACCGAAUAGGGGAGCCGAAGGGAAACCGAGUCUUAACUGGGCGUUAAGUUGCAGGGUAUAGACCCGAAACCCGGUGAUCUAGCCAUGGGCAGGUUGAAGGUUGGGUAACACUAACUGGAGGACCGAACCGACUAAUGUUGAAAAAUUAGCGGAUGACUUGUGGCUGGGGGUGAAAGGCCAAUCAAACCGGGAGAUAGCUGGUUCUCCCCGAAAGCUAUUUAGGUAGCGCCUCGUGAAUUCAUCUCCGGGGGUAGAGCACUGUUUCGGCAAGGGGGUCAUCCCGACUUACCAACCCGAUGCAAACUGCGAAUACCGGAGAAUGUUAUCACGGGAGACACACGGCGGGUGCUAACGUCCGUCGUGAAGAGGGAAACAACCCAGACCGCCAGCUAAGGUCCCAAAGUCAUGGUUAAGUGGGAAACGAUGUGGGAAGGCCCAGACAGCCAGGAUGUUGGCUUAGAAGCAGCCAUCAUUUAAAGAAAGCGUAAUAGCUCACUGGUCGAGUCGGCCUGCGCGGAAGAUGUAACGGGGCUAAACCAUGCACCGAAGCUGCGGCAGCGACGCUGAUGCGUUGUUGGGUAGGGGAGCGUUCUGUAAGCCUGUGAAGGUGUGCUGUGAGGCAUGCUGGAGGUAUCAGAAGUGCGAAUGCUGACAUAAGUAACGAUAAAGCGGGUGAAAAGCCCGCUCGCCGGAAGACCAAGGGUUCCUGUCCAACGUUAAUCGGGGCAGGGUGAGUCGACCCCUAAGGCGAGGCCGAAAGGCGUAGUCGAUGGGAAACAGGUUAAUAUUCCUGUACUUGGUGUUACUGCGAAGGGGGGACGGAGAAGGCUAUGUUGGCCGGGCGACGGUUGUCCCGGUUUAAGCGUGUAGGCUGGUUUUCCAGGCAAAUCCGGAAAAUCAAGGCUGAGGCGUGAUGACGAGGCACUACGGUGCUGAAGCAACAAAUGCCCUGCUUCCAGGAAAAGCCUCUAAGCAUCAGGUAACAUCAAAUCGUACCCCAAACCGACACAGGUGGUCAGGUAGAGAAUACCAAGGCGCUUGAGAGAACUCGGGUGAAGGAACUAGGCAAAAUGGUGCCGUAACUUCGGGAGAAGGCACGCUGAUAUGUAGGUGAAGUCCCUCGCGGAUGGAGCUGAAAUCAGUCGAAGAUACCAGCUGGCUGCAACUGUUUAUUAAAAACACAGCACUGUGCAAACACGAAAGUGGACGUAUACGGUGUGACGCCUGCCCGGUGCCGGAAGGUUAAUUGAUGGGGUCAGCGCAAGCGAAGCUCUUGAUCGAAGCCCCGGUAAACGGCGGCCGUAACUAUAACGGUCCUAAGGUAGCGAAAUUCCUUGUCGGGUAAGUUCCGACCUGCACGAAUGGCGUAAUGAUGGCCAGGCUGUCUCCACCCGAGACUCAGUGAAAUUGAACUCGCUGUGAAGAUGCAGUGUACCCGCGGCAAGACGGAAAGACCCCGUGAACCUUUACUAUAGCUUGACACUGAACAUUGAGCCUUGAUGUGUAGGAUAGGUGGGAGGCUUUGAAGUGUGGACGCCAGUCUGCAUGGAGCCGACCUUGAAAUACCACCCUUUAAUGUUUGAUGUUCUAACGUUGACCCGUGAUCCGGGUUGCGGACAGUGUCUGGUGGGUAGUUUGACUGGGGCGGUCUCCUCCUAAAGAGUAACGGAGGAGCACGAAGGUUGGCUAAUCCUGGUCGGACAUCAGGAGGUUAGUGCAAUGGCAUAAGCCAGCUUGACUGCGAGCGUGACGGCGCGAGCAGGUGCGAAAGCAGGUCAUAGUGAUCCGGUGGUUCUGAAUGGAAGGGCCAUCGCUCAACGGAUAAAAGGUACUCCGGGGAUAACAGGCUGAUACCGCCCAAGAGUUCAUAUCGACGGCGGUGUUUGGCACCUCGAUGUCGGCUCAUCACAUCCUGGGGCUGAAGUAGGUCCCAAGGGUAUGGCUGUUCGCCAUUUAAAGUGGUACGCGAGCUGGGUUUAGAACGUCGUGAGACAGUUCGGUCCCUAUCUGCCGUGGGCGCUGGAGAACUGAGGGGGGCUGCUCCUAGUACGAGAGGACCGGAGUGGACGCAUCACUGGUGUUCGGGUUGUCAUGCCAAUGGCACUGCCCGGUAGCUAAAUGCGGAAGAGAUAAGUGCUGAAAGCAUCUAAGCACGAAACUUGCCCCGAGAUGAGUUCUCCCUGACUCCUUGAGAGUCCUGAAGGAACGUUGAAGACGACGACGUUGAUAGGCCGG